CCUACGGGAGGCAGCAGUAGGGAAUCUUCCACAAUGGGCGAAAGCCUGAUGGAGCAACGCCGCGUGGGUGAAGAAGGUCCUCGGAUCGUAAAACCCUGUUGUUAGAGAAGAAAGUGCGUGAGAGUAACUGUUCACGUUUCGACGGUAUCUAACCAGAAAGCCACGGCUAACUACGUGCCAGCAGCAGCGGUAAUACGUAGGUGGCAAGCGUUAUCCGGAUUUGUUGGGCGUAAAGGGAACGCAGGCGGUCUUUUAAGUCUGAUGUGAAAGCGUUCGGCUUAACCGGAGUAGUGCAUUGGAAACUGGGAGACUUGAGUGCAGAAGAGGAGAGUGGAACUCGAUGUGUAGCGGUGAAAUGCGUAGAUAUAAGGAAGAACACCAGUGGCGAAAGCGGCUCUCUGGUCUGUAACUGACGCUGAGGUUCGAAAGCGUGGGUAGCAAACAGGAUUAGAUACCCUGGUAGUC
rnacentral:rRNA from 1 species